UUGACCGGUGUGCCUUCUCCGAUCACCAUCGAAACCAAACGGUACUCAGCACUAAUAAAUCCAGUGCAGUCGGUAUUUCCAGAUUCCAAUAGACCCGGCCCGUUGGUUUCCGAUUCUGUGGUGUCGUAGUCGUUGGCUCGUAGCGACUGCACAGGAACCAAUCCGUUGCUCGCAGACUCGCCAUUGGAGAGGUCCUCGAGUUACCAAUCGAGUAGCCUUUUGCUCCUCGGCGAAAGAGCGUCGUCCUCCCCGGCUCCUGACUCGGUGCCUCGUCGCGGGAGGUCGGGGGAGGGGCAACGGCGAACGGCAAAACGGCGGUAGGCGGCUGCCCAAGUUUGAUUCUGUGGGCGGCGCCGCCGUCAGAUCGCCAUCUGUCCUCGUUCAGAUCUGCAGUUUGGUGGUGACCGAUCUGGGACAGAGUAGAUUCACUUGCGCCCACGGAUGGACCCCUCCGGCUCCAAGAAGAGGGCCAGCGCCGCCACCGCCGCGGCUGACCUCACCGACGACCUCAUCGUCGAUAUCCUGUCGCGGCUGCCGGUCAAAUCGAUCUGCCGGUUCAAGUGCGUCUCCCGCCACUGGCAUCCCACCCCGAGCACCGCAAGAAGCUCCCCCAGACACAACUCUCCGGCUUCUUCUACCCUCGCUAUCUGCUCGACCACGAGGACGAGAUAACAGCAAUUCCCGAUUUCGUUGGCAUCUCGGGGGCCGAAGAAGUGCCAUUUCCUGACCCGUCGUUGCCCUUCUUGCCCGGCUACAGGUGGAUCCGUUCCAAGGACAGCUGUGGUGGCCUUCUCCUCUGCGGCUGCUGGAAGGUGAACCCCAGAGAUGAAUUCAAUUACGUGGUGUGCAACCCUGCCGCUGAUAAAUGGGUAGUCCUGCCUGAGCCCCCCGACGAUGGUAGCUCGGUGUCCACAAUCCGUUUGUGUUUUGACCCAGCCAUUUUCUCUCACUUCCACGUGUUCCAGCUCCUAGAGGAAGAUCAAUACGGAUAUAUCACUGGCCUGGAUAUUUACUCGUCGGAAACUGGUGCAUGGAGUCACAAGGAAAAUGGUUGGGGCGAUGAGGUUGUGCCGGUCGAAUCAGGAGGUGUCUUUAUGAAUGGAAUGCUGCAUUUGCUCUCCCACGAAUCCACAAUACUGGCAGUGGACACGGAAGGGAAGACAUGGAGUAUCAUUCCUUUGCUGGAAAGUAUGGGUUUUGAAAAAUUUUGCCAUGGUCCCAUCGCUUCUUGGUCAAUCACAAGGGCGCUUGUGCUAUAUGAAUACUAGGAAACAUAUCACUAAUAAGAUAUCAGUCUGGAUUCUUGAAGACUACAGUGCUGGUCAAUGGAUUUUUAAGUACAACAUCAGCACUUCCCAGCUUUUCGGAGAGGUAGAUCUCAUGAUGGAGCGGGAUUAUUCUUUGAUCACAAUUCAUCCAGAAGCCAAUGUGGUUUUCUUUGUUUCGAAUUCUGAGGAUCUUUUAAUGUCAUAUGACAUGGAUCGGGGUAAAGUUCGUGUUAUAUGUUGCUCACAGAGCCUAUUUAUAACACAUUUCUUCCAUAUCUUCCAUAUGUUCCAUUUUUUCAUGGACUGGCUGAUCAAGACUAGAAGCAUCAUGCCCAAGGUGAAGGUCAAGAAUUGGUACCCUAAAAUGAUAUGGAUGCUUUCACAUGUGCUGGGCCUUCAGUUGUUACUAAAUUAAAUAAUGGAGAGGCAGCUCAGGUUAUCUACGUCAUUUUCUUGUCAUAGUUUGUACUGUUUAUUGUUUGAUAUAUUCCUAAAGUUUGUUUUCGAGGAAAUUCCAUCAAUCCUAAAGGUCCUUUCACUUGGCAGUGCAGAGAUUACUUAAUAAGUAAGUCUGAUUCAUUUUCACUUA